CAAAGGAGCGGGGACGGCGGCGGGAGCUCAGCCACCGGCGGCGCACUCUUGCCGAAGCCUCCGGGCGUAGCAAGUGGCUCCUCUUUCGUGGCGGCUGCUGGUGCGCAAGACGGGCCGGGCGUGGGGAAAGGAACAAACGGAAAAGGGAUCUCUUUUUGAGAAAAGCUUCCGAAAGUUUUCUUUCUCCUGGAAGCCAAGCAGGACGCGCGUCCCAGGCGCUCUGCCUGUGCGCUCUAGCGCGCUUCGCCCUUUUCCUCUUUCCAGGCAAGAGACAAAGUCCUCCUGCGCCGCGCAGUUAUUACCUGCAGCGGGAACUCUUUUACAACUGAAGAUGAAAGGGGAGCGGGGGAGGGCAAACACACACAAACCACCCACUUUGAUGGACGUCGCUGGUUGCAAAUGAGAGCCUGGGGUAAAGGGUUGGAGCUGGCCAAUGGAAGGUGCCUCUGGGCUAAUUGGGCUGGGAAGGUGCGAGCAACUGCGCCGCGAGAACAAAGUGCGCGCGAGGGGGAUCCGGGCCCCCUUGAGCUGCGCGGGGUCCGCGGUGCGCGCCGUCGCUUCUGUGGAUGUGAGCCGCGUUGGAAGCGAGUUAGUCUUUACUUCUUCCGAGCGGAUGAGACGCCGGGUGCCCCUUGGGGUUUCUCGAAAAGGAAAGGCAAAGUGUGGCCUCACGCGCCUCUGGUUUCAGUCCCAGGCGCCUGGGUUGGUCUCCUGCACUUUGGAGGCGUCCCCAACAAUCUGCUGGGAGGAGGAGGAGGAGGCGGGCAGGCUGAUUAAACUGGAGAGGAAUUGCAGGCUCUGGUUUUCAGCGCAGAAACAAUACCGUCCCACGAAAGCCCCCAGAAUGGGGGCUCGAUUCCCCUCUUCGGAGCGGCAGGAUGUUUUUCUUCUGGGCUCGUGGUCUCUGCAAACAUGACGGCAGCGUUAGGCUGGCCUAUUGUGUUUAAACAUGAACUCAUGCCAAAAGCUUCCAAAGGACAAAGGGAAUUGGUCGAGCGAGCCUCUCCUGCAGAAAGUACAGUUUGGGGAAACAAGGUAAGGAAGUCCCACGGUCUUAUUAUGGAUCAAUCUGGCAUUCAGAAACACCCUCGCCAAACCAGAGGAUCUAAGUGGAUAAGCUACCAGGAGGACCACCUUAAGGAGUGGGAGAGCUGAAACAAGGAACAGAGACCAAACAUCUAGGCCUCUGCCCCAAACGGUGGUGAGCCCCUCCAGUCUGACCACUGAAAUUGGGGCAUCAUCUCUGCAACUCGCUUAUACCCGCUCACCCAGACACUCAAAAGCAACUUCCACUGAAAGCAUUGGGACUUAUGCAUUAAUUAUUUUAUUUUAUUAUGCGUGACCUUCCUUCCCAUAAACUAUUGUCAAUCCUG